CAAUAAAAUAAACAGUAACUAAAAUAAACAAUAACAGUGACAGGGGUCAACCCUAUCUUGUCCCUUUUGUAAUUUUACAUUAUCCUGUGCCUCAUUACAUCAAUACAUCAAGCCCAAAUAGGCUCACCACCCAAGCGGGGUGGGGGCGGGAAGUCAAUCCUGGCUUUCAGAAUGUAGUGAUCAGACCAUGGCACUUCCACAAGUGAGGACAUGAUCCUCACCAAAAAUCAUACUAUACCCGCACCAAAAAUCAAAUCCAGCAUGUGGUGAGAGCCCUAAUAUUGCCAUGGAAGACACCAGGUCCAGAGCCUGUGAGGAGGGGGUGGCAUCAGCAUGGACAUUGAAGUCCCCCAAAACCUCCAAGACCCAGCCUGCCACCACAUCCAACAGGCCUGACAGGGUGGCUACUGGUGGUUGGUACACCAGCCAGACAGCCCAGCUCUCCUUUGUGCCCCACACUAGGCCAGCACAUUCAAUGCUGGAGAUUGAUGGUGAUGGCAGAGCCCUGAAAGAGCAAUCCUUCUGGAUUAACAAUGCUAACCCUCCCCCCCCGACCCACAGUCCCCGAUUGGUGGAGGAUGGAGAAACCUGGUGGUGACAUCUCAUAAAAGGUGAAUACUUCGCCUUCGUGCACCCAGGUCUCUGUCACACAAGCCAGGUCAACCCCCAGCGAGAUAAGUCUCGCAAGGUGGCAGUUUUAUUGCCUAUGGACCUGGCAUUGCACAGCACCAAUGACGGAGGUGGAUAAUCCCUGUUCAUGUCCCUUGGGAUGGGGCGUAGCUUGGAAGGGGUUCGAGCAUCAUCGCAUCUCAAAAUCCUUCAUAGAUAAUAUUUACCCCCACUGCCGUACCUCCCUUGCCCUUUGACGGUGGCAAUCCCAGACCCCACGCUAGCCUCCCCUGUAGAGGAAUGAUAACAUAACAUCCCUGGGCCAAGUCUCCCAAAUUGAAAAGGUAUGAUAUUGAGAUGAAAAAUCAGCAGGACAAACAUCCCCAAUAGGUAAAACCCAUCCAGCCACACCCCAGGUAGCGAGGGGAGUCCCACACUGGUCCACUAACUGUCAAUCCCUCUCUCCCUCAUAAGGUAGCCAGGCUAUUAACUCUUUCUGUGCCUUUGGGAGUAUUAAAGAGGCAUGUGCUGUAAAAUGGAGGUCACUAGCCAGCAGAGAGCCGCUUCAUGUUCAGAGACUCCGUCCGUCCUAUCUCACCCUUUGGGUGAGUCAUUCUUGUAAGUUUUAGGAGUAUUAGGCAAAGGCCCGAGUAUAGCCUGGGUGCUUGGUUUCAGCAAUCUAUCUGCGACAUGAAGUUCUUUAGAAGUUGUUGCCAUGAGAGUGUCAGAGUUGCCAGGUUCAUCUUCUCCAUCGCUAUCGCUUGGGGAAAGAUCAGGGAAUUGCAUAGUCGUCUUUCCUCGAGAUGAAGGGCUAUUGGGCAUAUAGUGUUCCGAGCUAUAAUGUCCUUAUGUUUUGAAUUGAGAUUUUAUGCUCAAUUGAGAUUUUAUGCUCUUUAUGCUCAAUAAUCUCCUCUUCAGUUCUUCUAAUUCUUCUAAUUCCAAACUCACGGGUUUAUCUUCCUCCUUCGUGCAGGUAUUGUUUCUUAUUGGCGUUUGCUUUGGUUCUCUGCCGGGGACUGGCUGCCUCACUGUCUCAUCCUUGAAAACCCUUAUCAGGGGUCCUAGGAGGCCAUUUUGGAUGAAGGCAGAGUGACCGGAAAGAGGCGCCACCAGAGGAGAGGCAAAUGAAGACAUGCCACCACCGCCAUAUUGGUUGAGGGCAGUUGGGCCUAGCCUGGCCAUUUUGUGGCACUGGUCUCCCUUGUGAGCAUUUCCCUGAGCGCUAAGCUCCUUCAGGAGCUGCCCAGGUAGACUGCCACUGGCACGGGAGGCUCCACCCGAGAGAAGAAGCGCCUAGGAGGCCAGGGUAGCCCCACAAGGUGGGCUUCUGUCCCCCUGGGCGUCUUUUGGGGUACAGGGGCCUCCGCCCUGCCAACCUUUGGCCCCCCUCACCCUGCCGGCUUGCAGAUAAGGUGGGGGCGAAGGCCUGCUGGGUGCUGCUGUGAGGACGGCGCGCCUGAGGGGUGCCCUGCUGGGCUGGGGUGAGGGAGGGGGGGCUGUGAAUCCCAUCCCUCUCUCUAUGCUUUUUAUUUCUCUCUCUUCCCUCUCUCAUUUCCCAAAGAAGUCCUGGGAAUUAUAGCUCUGAGCUUCCUUUCAGUGGGUUGGACUAGAUGCCUCUUGAUGCCCCUUCCAUGUCUCCCAUGCUCCCUAUCUCUCUCACUGUUACUCUCCUUUUAAUGGCACUUCCCCCUUUUUUUUCCUAGCUGGGCCUCCAUUUCUUAGCUGGGCCGCCUCCAGGAAGCCAAGUGCUGGCGCCUGCAACUUUGCCUGCGACUGCUGGGAUUGCUCUGACAAGAUCCAUUGACACUAGUUUUGGCGUCACCAAAGGAAUCAGGGAGAUGUGCUUCAAUUCCCCUCGCAGAUAGUAUUUAACCCAUCACGGCAUCUCUCAAAGCACCCUGGGAACUGUAGUUUCCUAUGGGGGGAGAGAAUAUUCUGCACAACCUUUCCCAAGGGAACUCUGGGAGUUAUAACUCUGAGAGGGUCUCUUUGGGAAACAGAACAAACUACAGUUCCCACGAUGUUCCCCAAAGCACCAUGGGAACUAUUGCUUGCUCUGGGUGUUGAGGGUUGCGAAUCCCUUGACAGAUCUAGUUCCCAAGCCCAUUUCUUUUUCUAGGGAACUCUGGGAACUGUAGCUCAUGGGAGGAACAUCACUUGGUGUCCUGAAUUCUGGGAACUGUAGCUUGCUCAGGGCGCCUGAUUCCUUCUCCUUCUAGGCUACCGGAAUGGGCUGGAACCGCCAAGUGUCACCUUGGCCUGCGACUUUGAAGGCACCGCCUGCAGCUGGGAGGACGUCAGCAUGUCUGGGUACUGGUGGUGCCCAGGGUGGGGCAGAGGCUGGGUGUGCGGCCCCGACUCCCCCUUCAACCACAUUCUGGGCACCGACCAGGGUAAACUUGCUUCAUUUGAAAGGCAGAGAAGCAUUGCUUAGCAGUUAGAGCACCCCUUUGACCUGGCACCCCCCAACCAGGCUGGUACAUGAGCACCUCGGAGCAGCGAACCAAGCCGCCUGACUCCGCUCCCUGACCAUGAGUGACGCAGCCACAGCCUGUGAACUCCGCACCUGGUACAGUAUGGCUGAGAAAGGUAAGCUUGGGGCACUGGUCGGAAAACCAACAGGAGCAGAGCCAUGUACUUGGCCUUUUUCCCUGUGUGGAGGAAAUGCCACCAGGCACAGUUGUCGUAAUUCCGUACAUUUCUAAGCUGCAGGACAUAUCGUGGUGCUAUCAUAUAAUUAUUAUUUAUUGAUUUCCAGACCACUGACCCGCCUGGUAGGGCCAGCAUAAUGAAAUACCAUUCUUAUCAUGAAAUUUACUGAUGCCCUGCUUCCCGUCCCCCUUUGGGAUUCCUGGCAGCUGACUGAUAAAAAUGAGAGCAGUUGAGAUGAGAUGUCAUUCUGCAAUUCUCGCAGGGGUCAGGCUAGAUGACCCCCGGGUCCCAUCUCCUCUGUUUAUAUAACUAUGGUUCCCACCUGCAGGGGCCAGGCUAGAUGACGCCUGGUUCCUCACCCCUCCGCCCUUCCUGUGCAGGACUCAACGGAAGCUUCCCUGUGGAGCUGAGCCACGGCAACCACAUUGUCCCCUGUGGCGAAGCCCUGCCUCAUCCUCAGGCACCUGGCGCCCCCUGCUGGCCUACACCGGAAGAGUCCACAGUGCUUUCCAGUUAGGUCUUGGGCUCCUCGCCCUCCCCG